UCCCCGAUACUUUCGGACAUUUGCAGCGGUUCCCACUGGACCAAACAAACUCCAAUUAGGGCAUUAAAGUUAGGUCAGGUUUUAGAUGAAUUGAAGUGCUGCGAAUCUGGUUGAAUUUCAAUAUAAACCCUGAGCAUUGUGUUGUUAUUUGUGUAGUGUGUUUUGAAGCUUUGUACUCUCCUAUAGACUCGCCGAAUGAAUUACGAAAGAUAAGAUUCAGUAUCAAAUGUGUUCCUUAUUUCGACGAUUCA